rnacentral:rRNA from 1 species
CGGAGGAAGGCGGGGAUGACGUCAAAUCAUCAUGCCCCUUAUGACCUGGGCUACACACGUGCUACAAUGGAUGGGACAAACGGAAGCGAACCCGCGAGGGGUAGCCAAUCCGAGAAACCCAUUCUCAGUUCGGAUUGCAGGCUGCAACUCGCCUGCAUGAAGCCGGAAUCGCUAGUAAUCGCAGAUCAGCAUGCUGCGGUGAAUACGUUCCCGGGCCUUGUACACACCGCCCGUCACACCACGAGAGUUGGCAACACCCGAAGCCGGUGUAGGGUC